rnacentral:rRNA from 1 species
UACGUAGGGUGCAAGCAUUGUCCGGAAUUAUUGGGCGUAAAGAGCUCGUAGGCGGUUUGUCGCGUCUGCUGUGAAAACCCGAGGCUCAACCUCGGGCCUGCAGUGGGUACGGGCAGACUAGAGUGCGGUAGGGGAGAUUGGAAUUCCUGGUGUAGCGGUGGAAUGCGCAGAUAUCAGGAGGAACACCAAUGGCGAAGGCAGCUCGCUGGGACGUUACUGACACUGAGGCGCGAAAGCGUGGGGAGCGAACAGG